UACGGAGGGUGCGAGCGUUGUCCGGAAUCACUGGGCGUAAAGGGCGCGUAGGUGGCGCGGGUAGUCGUCGGUGAAAGCUCAGGGCUCAACCCUGAGUCGGCCGGUGAUACUCCCGUGCUUGAGUGUGGUAGAGGCCAAUGGAAUUCCGGGUGUAGCGGUGGAAUGCGUAGAGAUCCGGAAGAACACCGGUGGCGAAGGCGGUUCUCUGGGCCUUACCUGACGCUGAGGAGCGAAAGCGUGGGGAGCGAACAGG
rnacentral:rRNA from 1 species